GGAGAGAUGGAUCAGUGGUUAAGAGCACUGACUGCUCUUCCAGAGGUCCUGAGUUCAAUUCCCAGCAACCACA
rnacentral:tRNA from 1 species